CUACGGGUUGCACAGUGAGGAAUAUUGCACAAUGGGGGGAACCCUGAUGCAGCAACGCCGCGUGGAGGAUGACGCAUUUCGGUGUGUAAACUCCUUUUAUAUGUCAAGAAAGUGACGGUAGCAUAUGAAUAAGCACCGGCUAACUCCGUGCCAGCAGCCGCGGUAAUACGGAGGGUGCAAGCGUUACUCGGAAUCACUGGGCGUAAAGGACGCGUAGGCGGGUUGGAAAGUCAGGUGUGAAAUCCUACAGCUUAACUGUAGAACUGCACUUGAAACUUCUAAUCUAGAGUAUGGGAGGGGAGAUGGAAUUAGUGGUGUAGGGGUAAAAUCCGUAGAUAUCACUAGGAAUACCUAAAGCGAAGGCGAUCUCCUGGAACAUUACUGACGCUAAGGCGUGAAAGCGUGGGGAGCAAACAGGAUUAGAUACCCUCGUAGUC
rnacentral:rRNA from 1 species